rnacentral:rRNA from 1 species
CGGUAAUACGGAGGGUGCAAGCGUUGUUCGGAAUUAUUGGGCGUAAAGCGCGUGCAGGCGGCUCGCUAAGUCUGAUGUGAAAGCCCCGGGCUCAACCCGGGAAGUGCAUUGGAAACUGGCGAACUUGAGUACGGGAGAGGGAAGUGGAAUUCCGAGUGUAGGGGUGAAAUCCGUAGAUAUUCGGAGGAACACCAGUGGCGAAGGCGGCUUCCUGGACCGAUACUGACGCUGAGACGCGAAAGCGUGGGGAGCAAACAGGAUUAGAUACCCUGGUAGUCCACGCCGUAAACGAUGGGCACUAGGUGUCGCGGGUAUUGACCCCUGCGGUACCGUAGCUAACGCAUUAAGUGCCCCGCCUGGGGAGUACGGCCGCAAGGCUAAA